rnacentral:rRNA from 1 species
GACGAACGCUGGCGGCGUGCUUAACACAUGCAAGUCGAACGGAAAGGCCCUGCUUUUGUGGGGUGCUCGAGUGGCGAACGGGUGAGUAACACGUGAGUAACCUGCCCUUGACUUUGGGAUAACUUCAGGAAACUGGGGCUAAUACCUGAUAGGAGCUCCUGCUGCAUGGUGGUGGUUGGAAAGUUUCGGCGGUUGGGGAUGGAGUCGAGGCUUAUGAGCUUGUUGGUGGGGUAGUGGCUUACCCAGGCUUUGACGGGUAGCCGGCCUGGGAGGGUGAACGGCCACAUUGGGACUGAGAUACGGAGCAGACUCCUACGGGAGGCAGCAGUGGGGAAUAUUGCACAAUGGGCGGAAGUCUGAUGCAGCAACGCCGCGUGCGGGAUGACGGCCUUCGGGUUGUAAACCGCUUUCGCCUGUGACGAAGCGUGAGUGACGGUAAUGGGUAAAGAAGCACCGGCUAACUACGUG